rnacentral:tRNA from 1 species
GACUCAAUAGCUCAGUGGUCAGAGCACCUGUCAUGAAAACAGGAAGUCCCGGGUUCGUAUCCCUGCUGGGUUA